rnacentral:rRNA from 1 species
UUAACGGAGAGUUUGAUCCUGGCUCAGGACGAACGCUGGCGGCGUGCCUAAUACAUGCAAGUCGAGCGGACAGAAGGGAGCUUGCUCCCGGACGUUAGCGGCGGACGGGUGAGUAACACGUGGGCAACCUGCCCCUU